CAAAAACAUGUCCUUUUGUUUUAAAUAUAAGGUCUAACCUGCCCAAUGAUUUAUAAUUUAAUGGCCGCGGUAUUUUAACUGUGCUAAGGUAGCAUAAUCACUUGUCUUUUAAUUGAAGGCUAGAAUGAAUGGUUGGACGAGGUAUAAGCUUUCUUUAACUUAGUUUAUUGAAUUUAAUUUUUUAGUUAAAAGGCUAAAAUGUUUUUGAGGGACGAGAAGACCCUAUAGAUCUUUAUAUAUUUAUUUAUUAUGUAUUUUGGUGAAUUAAUUAUUUUUAAUAAAAAAAUGUAUUUGGUUGGGGCGACUGUAGAAUUCAUAUAACUUCUAUUUAUAUUAUAUCAUAAAUUAAUGUUUUGUUGAUCCAAUAUUAUUGAUUAAAAUAUUAAGUUACCUUAGGGAUAACAGCGUAAUUUCUUUGGAGAGCUCUUAUCGAUAAAGAAGUUUGCGACCUCGAUGUUGGAUUAAAAUAAGUAAUGGGUGUAGGAGCUCAUUAACUAGGUCUGUUCGACCUUUAAUUUUUUACAUGAUCUGAGA
rnacentral:rRNA from 1 species